rnacentral:tRNA from 1 species
GGGGGCAUAGCUCAGCUGGUAGAGCGUCUCGUUCGCAACGAGAAGGUCAGGGAUUCGAGCUCCCUUGUCUCCACCA